rnacentral:misc_RNA from 1 species
UUGCCCUGAGGAAGGCCAAAUAUAGAGCCGAAAGCUUGGCAACUGUAUAAUACACUGUAUGAUUGAAGGACCACAUACCCAAUAACACCCCAAACCAGAUUAUAAUCAAAGUUGGUCGAUAACUGAAUAACCUCAAAAAUUUUCUAGCAUUAAACCAUUCCUAACCAUAUAAUACUGGGAUCUUUGGUCCUCUCUUAUUUUUAAUGUCGUUAUUUGUAAAACUAUUUUCUGAAAUUUACUUUCAACAAUCCCCUGGUCAAUUACUUGUAACAUCAAUGUUGUGCUGGGAGGAAGAAAAAAUCUAAUUGCUGGGAUAUGCUAGGCUGUUGCCCACAAGAAGGAGGACAAAGUUUUUGGUCCCAAUUUUGCAACCAUUUUUCAAAAAUUUCUCUGUCAUCCAAACUUUAGAAUUGGAAUGAUAGUCCCAGAUGUUUUAUAAUUUAUUUAUCCGAAAAAUGUUUAUUUUUAGUCCCACUUUAUGUUCUUAUUAACUUAUUCUUACAUCUGGACUUUUUAUAAAUUAAAUUCUAUGAAAAUGGGUCGGCAACUAACAAACUUAUUCUUUUAAUAAAGAAGCCUCCUAAAAACCAAUGCAAAAGGCUAGAAUUCCAGGUAAAAAAUUCUUAGAGCUUAAGACACCACUCACACAAGCAAUGAACAGGCAUAAGAAAUACAUGAUUAUAAACUUGGUCUAUAAUUUGCUGUUUUUAUUAUUAAAGUUAUAGCAAAACUAAAAAAAUAAAUCCAGCCAUAUUUUGUGUGGAUUAGUGUGUAAAAUUGGAAUGUUUUGAUAUUUUGCAAUUUAAGAUCAACUUUAAUUUUUUUUAAAUAAGCAAGGAAAGCUUAUUUGUAGUUAUCAAAUAAUUUGUUGGGUGUCUAAAUUAAGAUGUAUAUUUAAAAAAAAAAAAAAGCAAACACUCAUGAAUUGUUUCUACAUCCCCUCUCUGUCAUGUCUGUGGUUUAGAAGUGGCGCACUACGACCACAGUCCAGUGAUCAUUCAUGUAGACAUGCCAGCACAUGGGAACUUCUAUGAUGGGGUCUACCUCCUUUCGGGUUUCUCCGAUUUUUGACAUUACUGUUAUGUUGUCGGCCCUCUUGUCUCAUGCUCGCUGCGUUCGGGCAUUUAAAAUUGGUUCAAUGUCAUGAAUUAUUGUUGGCACCCGGUGGUGAUUUCCAGUAGGAAGAAAUGGAAGAAUUUUCAAGCAGCGUGUACGGCCUGAAGGGGACGAUCCAUAAGCACGACAUGGAAAUCGGCUCCAAUCCGUCACUGCCGAAAAUCUUGAGCAAAGACGAAGCUUUGAAGACUUUGAAGUCGAUCGUAGAAAGCGGUGAAAACAAAGAUAUAACUCGGAAGGAUGACGACUUCCUACUGAGGUUCCUUCACGCUAGAAAAUUGAACGUUGAGGAGAGCUACCAGUUGCUGUCAAAUUACUUUUCCUACAGGAAAAGAAACAGAGAGCUUUUUGAUAACAUUUCAAAGGAAGACCCUUUAAUAAAGCAAGCCCUUUAUGACGGAUUCCCAGGUGUCUUAUCUAACAGGGACAGGCGUGGGCGAUGUGUUCUUGUUUUCUUUUGUAACAAUUGGGAUCAAGAGAACUAUCCAUUAGACGUUAUCUACCGCUCAAUCCUGUUAUCGCUUGAAAUUUUAAUUGUCGAUAUAGAAAACCAACUGAAUGGUUUUGUCAUUAUAGUCGACUGGACUAACAUGUCUUUCCGACAAUUUUAUUUGUUAAAGAUUACAAAUCUCACGCCAAAGACAUUAAAGCUAAUGAUAGAAGGAUUGCAAGACUGCUUCCCGGCUAAAUUUAAAGGAAUUCAUUUUAUUAACCAACCUUGGUAUGUUGAACCAAUAAUAGCCAUUAUCAGAGCUUUUCUUAAGGAGAAAACGAAGAAAAAGAUUUUUGUUCAUGGCAACAACAUGAGUACCUUACAUGAGCAUGUAAACAUAAACAUUCUUCCUGCUGAAUUGGGCGGAGAAGGUCCACCACACAGUCCUACCAAUUGGGCGAAUUACGUGGUUGAAUCGAAAUGAUGCUGUGUCGUCCAUAAUUAUAAAGAUUUAAAUUUAUUCAUUAUAAGCAGAAUUUGUUCAUAAGAAUACUAUUGCAGUUUGGUUGGAGCACUGUCCAAAACCUAUAAUAAGAAUGAAGAACUGACUUCAUAGUUUCGCAGGUUUUUAUAAUACUCAUACUAUAUGUUUAAUUAUGGUGUUGUAAUGAAAAUUGAACCUUGAUUUAAUGUGAUAUUUUAAUCAUUAAAAGCUCAUCGUGUAGAGACAAAUUGCCCUUUGGUUACAAAUAACUAUUUUAUGAAAUAAUUAAAAAGGGGUGAAUUUGUUAGCUCUCAAAGUAUUUGUUAUAAGCUCAUUUAUAAUAAUUGCCACAUUAUUUAAACCGUCUUGACAGCGUUUGACGCUUUCGUUGUUUUGUAAUUUAGUAUUUUAAUAAUGAUGUUACAAAAUAUUUCAUCGAGGAAAAUUAUUGUUCAGUCCAUCUAAAUCAAAAAGUACAAAUUUGGGACUAUAAAAUAGCUCAUCCCAUUAUGCAGUAAAGAUACUUGAAAUGUUUAGAAAAUUCAUAAAUUAUUUUGUUGGCAGAUAUGUUAGUUGUGUAUGCUUUUUGUCAAAUUUCAUAUCAAAAAUUAUAGGAUGAACUCUAUUGAAAGAAGUGAAUAAAAAUAUAAAUUUAUCCACCUCUAUCUCUCCCAUUGUAAUUUCAUUAUUAUUAUUUUUACUGCAUGUCUCAUUUGUCAAGCAAAGCAUAUUACUGCCAUUUUGAGAUUAACAUAUGUAAAAAACAGACUGACUAUUUUCAGCAUAAACUAUUGGGUAUAAACAAACUUUUAAAAAAUUGUACCUUUUGUUUAAAUAUUCUUACACACAUUUUUAUUUAUGAUCCAAUUAAGCUCUUGGAAAAUUAUGAAAUCUUGAUACUAUGUACAUCUUCCCUUGUCUUAUUUUUCGUAUUGUCACUAUUGUGCUAUAUUUGACAAUUUUUAAGGCCAAAUAGUUUAAACAUAUAAAGACUACUUAAAAAAAAAACUAAUCUUAUAAAUUGUUUUGAAAAGAUACCAUCUUCCUCCUCAGUAUUUGAGAUUUUUUUUAAAUUUGCAACAUAGUUUGUAGCAGAAAUGCCAUUCAAUAUAAGUGUAUUAAAUAUACUUUCUAUAUUAAGUAAGUUAUUGUAAAAAAUAUUCCUCUUAUUUAUUAUAAAUAUUUGUGAUGCAAGUUAAUGUGUAGUGAAAGUAGUGCCUGUUUGUUUUCAAGUGCAGUAGUUUAAACAUUAAUUUCUUACUAUAUUUUGAUUAAUAUAUGUCAUUAAGAGUAAUAAGACAAACAGUUUAACUAUUU